CAACUAUCUUGGGAUUUAUUUUUCACGAAAUGGCACAUUUAAACACUGUAGAAAACACCUAGCAGAAAAAGCUACAAAGGCAAUGUAUGAGGUGAUCAAAAAGGGGAGAAAACAUGGGUUAUCUAUUAGUUGUCAAUUAGAUUUAUUUGACAAAUUAGUGAAACCGGUCUUAUUGUACGGUUGUGAAAUUUGGGGGUUGGGAAUAACGACAUUUUGGAGAGAGUUCAAUUAAAAUUCUGUAAGCUUCUUCUGCACCUAAAGUCUUCUACCCCAAAUUGUGUAAUAUAUGGUGAACUUGGACGAUAU
rnacentral:lncRNA from 1 species